AGUCGAAACUAAUUAUACAAAAAAAAAAGCAGUUAAAUACCUAAUCAAAUUAUAAUAAUAUUAUAAUUUAAAGAAUAACUACACUUACUAUUCAAAUAAAUGAAUAAUCAAAUCAAUUUUUAUUUUAAUAAAAAUAGAAAUAUAAAUAAUAAAAUAAUAUUUUAUUAUUUAUAAUGUUUUACUUUAUUUAAAAUUAUAC
rnacentral:rRNA from 1 species